CCUAUGUCGUAUAGAUACUGCAGGAACAAUAAUAGGACGGACAACAUGUCGUUUUCGCUUACGUUGUAUCUAUCGUGUACAUUUAGGUGAAAAGCGGCUCCCUUCCGCUGAUAGCAAUAGCCGCAGCACUCAGCAUUCACCAGCAGUGGCCAGCAAACCUGGCGACCCCGGGUUGCAGUGCAGUGAAGUGGCGAUUGACCUCGCCCCUUUGUCCUCCCUGCUGUGUGACCAAUUCUCAAUCGCUGCAAUAGAAGACGAGGGUUUGCGGUCUGCCGUGCUGGGGUCGCUCGACACAACUGCCGGAGUACCAUGGUACCUGCAUAUGACGAUACUGCGAUAAUUACCCUGGUCGUCGAUCUACUACCCUACUAACUGUCGCGGCAGCAUCUACAGUGUUGCGAUUCGUGUGUGUGUUUGUGCGUCUGCGUGUAUGUGUGUCAACGUUACCGCUGUCCGUGGGAAACGACCAAUUAACCCGGGUCCAACGUUCUACAAUUCUACCGCUGUUUAAAGCAUCAACCGCUAGUCAGUCGGUCAGUAGCGGCAUCACCUUUUGGUAGAUCCACCAUGAACAGCCACGGCACAAGCAAUAGCAGUCGUGGUUUGGUACCGUUGAAGCAGUACGUUAGUUUGUCAUUGCCGCUGCCUGCACAGCGCGUUGGCUCCGGUGGGCCACUGCCUUCAUUGCAACGGCGGCCGGCUGCGGCAAUAGCAGCAGCAUUCGGGGUCGGCGGCCUGGCGGCGGGUGUAGCCGGCGCCUGAUCCGAGUACUGAGGCUCGUUUUGUCGCUCGGCGCUACGUCGUCCAUCAGCAUUCAGUCAGUAAAUCAGUGUACGGUAGACAGCAUCACUGCCAACGGUAACAUCAGCAUUGGCAGUUGUCUUAACAGCAACAGCUGUUGCAGUUUCUUUCACCAUCAUCGUCAGCGGUGGGAGCAAAAGUAGAAGUAACGACCCUGUGGUCUUCGCGUUUUGCUCUUGUAGUUAUCCUAUAGCGGCUACCGAUGCCGUGGUGACAAUCGAUGCUUGUGACACCAGAUCUGCGUCGCUGAGCUAUUGAAUGGUUUCUUCAGUGAACCGCCAAUGACCAGCACCUAAGCUCACUGCCCGUUAACAAGCGACCAGCCGUGGAUGCGCUAUCGUUGGCGUCAUAUAUGCAUAUACGUACCAUGGCUCACUACAAACGGCAUUCUGUGUUUGCGCGCAUGCCUACGUGUAUGCAAGUUUGCGCCCGAGUGUGGCCACUGUGUGCGUGCGUGCAUGUGUAUGUGUUUGUGGGUGAGCCAAAUUAUGUGUCGUCGUUUGUGACGGCGGUAGGGCUUUCCCGACCACGACCACGGCGAUUAAAAGGUGAACAUCGCCGGCCGACGGUCGGCCGGUGCUCACUACAUAGAGCUACGCCGCUGAUCCUGGCCGGUCAGUCAGUCGGUUAGCCGAUUCUUGAACAUCGCGCCAACGUUGGGAUCAGGAGUGGUUGGCACGUACCAAAUUGAACGGUUACAAUAGCACGACCAACGGCGGAUAGAAACAACAUCACCAACAACGGCAACAACAACAGCAGUAGCAGCGACAUCGACGAUCGUCGCGAUAUAGGUAUAAUAGUAGCAACAACAGUGGCGUCAACAUCUUAUCCAUCUCGCGAUCAUCCUAUUCAUCUUUGCGUUUAUUGCGUCGCUAGUGGCGGAAAUGUUUUAUGCACACAAUAGUGUGGGAUUCACCUGAGCCAUCACUGAGACCGCUCCCGUCAGAGACUAGCUUAAAAACAGGAAGAAAGGUGCAUCCACCGCUUAGAUAGUGGAUGAGGACCCCAUAAGCCGGAAAAACCACGACUUGUCGAGCAUUAGCCCAGUGAGUGAGAGGGGAGAAGGGGAGAGGAAGAGGGAGGGGGCAAACGAAGAAAAAAGGGAAAGGAACUGGGGAGGAGCCAGAAACUCAACCUUCCAUCGUCUCAGGUGCUCGAGGAGAUUGUUUGGCCUAUGAUGCUUCACCGAUUUCUCCAGCUUUCGAAGAUGGCCAGCCAGCAACCAGACUGAGCUUCAGAAAAUAGCAAUUUCUAAGCAAACCGUCGGAAUUUUGAUUUAACAAAUUUGAGACGCUCUGAGAGAGCCCAUCGCUCACCAUCUAAGAUGUCUAAUUCUGUAGAAGUGGUAGAUCUGAGGCCUUAUCAGACCAGUAUCUCUUGCUUCCAACAAGGACGUAUCACAUCGAACCGGGACGUAUUGUUAACUGCCUAUAUAUAUUCAUACAUGGGUAAUUCUUUCGGUGUCGACAAGGUUGCCGUGGUAAAUCAACGCUCUCUAAGAAAAUCUCAAGAUUCAUUUAUCAAAAAUAUUAUUUAAUACAAACAUUAGUCUCAUUCUAUUCUAACACUACGCACGCUCCGCCAUCUAAAUAUAUUGCAAGAUAUGUAGCAAGUAUGAAUUUUCACUUGAUACGCGUUUGUAACGAUUUGCUCAGAUACAACGCGAUUUAUAACGAGCGGUUUUCUUUAAACAAUUUCAGAGAGGUUACUAUUACAUUGCACGAAGUGCUGAUAGCGGAAUGAGCGACGCAAAACACGUGAAGCGGAAAAACUAGAAUUUCAGCAAACGAAUAGCGUAAAGUCUUGAAUAAUGGAUCCAGGUAUUGUCCGUCCUGCCUAGAUAACCAGCGAUUUGAUUCUAUGGCACCAAUCGGAUGAUAGGAUCGGCACAGUACCAGCAGGCGGAGGCCCUUCGAGCAAGAAAUAAACGAUAGAUCCUGACGGCAACAUACAAGCUGCGCAACCCUGGCCUUAACUGGCCUUCAACCCUUCAACUCGGCGGUAAAAAAUAGCAGCAGUAGCAGCAGGCAAUCGCCGCCGCACUUGGUUCUGCGGCAGGCCGUUCAGUCCGUUGUGAAUCUGCGAACACGGUUCGUUACUAAAUUCCCCAAGUCGAAUGGCUUUCACCGCCUCAUCAGCGCAGCAGUAGUGGCGUGUAUAUGUGCGCCUGCGUAUAAUACCUUCUACUUCCGCCACUCAGUUAGUGGUCCCGGUCGAAAUGCGCUCCUCUCUAGAGGCCUUGCCGCUGAAACGGCGGCCAAUCGCGUCCCACCACUUUUACCUCUACCGAACAAUAGACGCAAGGAAUUAGUUAGCUAACUAACUGCCUUCGCACGACGUUCGCUGGUUAGAUCGCUGCGAAUUUCACCAACGUUGUCAACAAACGUUCACCAAUAGGCCAACCGCCAUAUCUCCAAGGUCAGCCUUCUGGACGCGUCAUGGAACUUUUGUCUGUUUUCCUCCGUUUGAGUGCUCCUCUAGCUCUGUUAACUAGAUUAUUAUAUUAGUUAACUCUCAAGUAAAUAAUAAACGAAGGAUGUUUUACUCGCUUUGUUGAUAUUGCAGAUAGAUAGAUAUUUGAAAGACAUGCGGCGACCCUGAAAGCAGUUAUGUUGCAUUGCGGUUGUGUAUUUUAAUAGUUAAGAGCGGUCGUUUAUGACGCGCUUUUCCGUGUCAUCUUACAUCGAGGUCAAGGCGAUCUUCAUCAACUCGACGCGAUAAACCAACGUCUGCAGUGAACGGAGUUCGGAAUCUCGACAAACAACACCACGCUGACAAAGAUGAUAGAAACCAAGGCGACUGAAACUAACAACUAACACCGUAUAGGUUGAAUAAACGAUGUGGUUUGUUUGGCGCGCAAA